CUCAUGGCUCCUUGCCCAAAUCAGUUUGCAGAACUCUCAAGUCCAUUAGAGAUCUUCUCUUGGUUCAGUGGUAACAGAGGCUGCACCAUCAGUUCAGAGACACGGCUGUAACAGCAGCCCUCACCAUUUGUCUGUUUCCUCUUCAUUCCCACAUCCUAGUCAAACCAUUAACAACGUUUAAAGAAACAGGUCACCAUACUAAUGAGGAUGGCUGGUCUCAGAGUCUCCACUCAGUGAGAAACUAAGAAGCAGGUGGUAUUUGAGCAGGUAAAUCCUGAUAUUGCAGGACUCACCUGCAGCCGGCAGAAAUCAGGCCCAGACAGGAGGGAGCAGCGCCCAGGACCCAGCCCAGGUGAGCUCGCUAAUGAGGCAGAGAGUGCCUCCUAGCCAGGUGCUGAGGAAGUGCCAGACUGGAUGUCAGGACAGUGGGGACAGCAACAGGGUGUAGACCUAGGAGCAAAAUAAGACUAAAUCUUCUGGAGCUCUGGCACCAGAGACCUCAAAGCUUCUGGGAGCCUGGGCCCAGAACAGACCUUCUUGCUGGGAAAGGGAUCGUAUGCUGGUUGUGGUAGCCUAAGGCAGGCUGCAGCCAGCCAGAGGGACAGGGAACCUAGGGACUUGCUUCAGCGGGUGGGCGUGGCCCUCUGUUGGGUGGGCGUGACAAGCUCCACCAGGUGGGUGGGGCCUGCAUCAGCACAGCCUGCUCCAUCAAAUGGGCAGAGCCUGCUCCAGAAGUGGGAACCUUCCAACCCCACUUCCAGGCUGCCGUUUGCUGUCACAGAGUGACGUUUUCAGCAUGGCUUCAGUUCUUUUGCCCAAACAGAGGAAAACUUGCAGGACUCCUGGGGAAUCAGCAGGCCUUGUGCCUAGGACAUCGGGUCAAUCAGUGCCAACCUCAAUGAUACAAUGCUAACCAACAUGAAUUUUCAAAACCAAAACCUGCAAAUGAACAACGAUUUUAUCUGGCGACGAACAUUCCGUGUUCUCCUUUGAUGAAGGGCUGAGUGGACUUGCGGUGCCAGUGAGCUUUUCCCGGUCAGACUGUGUACCCAAGCCGAGCAUGAAUUGGCUUUCCAGCUUUCAUGCCUUCUUCCUGCUCUAAUGACACUGCUCGCAGGUUGAACAUCCACUGGCAAUUUCAGCAGAUGCGACCUCAAUUUCCACGCAAUCAUGUCUGUUCUGGCAGCGGGCAUCACCGCACAACACUUUUGCUUGGUGGCUCUGAGGACAGAAGUUACAGCCCGGCGCUGGGGUUUCCUGCCUCGUGGUAACAUGAAAAUCACCUUGUCAAUCAGGCUACCUCUAUCCUUUAUGAAAUGGGACCAUGACACUGUCACAUUACCCCAGGAAGCAAGAUAAUUGUGCCUCUCUUGACAUAUGCCUAAAUACUUGGUAGCACUUGAACAGCAUAAUUUUUUAUUCUCAUAAAUGUAUCAAAUAUGAAUAUGGGAGGAGGCUCUGGCAGGCCCCCACUAAGUCACUGAAUACUCAUUUUAUGCUCUUCGUUACCCCUCAGCAUUGUCUGAAAUCACUGCUCUCAUAUAUUAGAUCUGUAAUAUGUUACCAUGAACACAUUCUUCUCUUCUUGGAUUUAAACUGAAACAAUUUUGAGUAAUAAACAUGGUGAUUUAGAGAAUUCAAUUAUAAUCCUAACCAUAGAGAAACUAGGGUCUCUAGUUUCUUUGAUAUAAUUCUGACUAACAGAGGGAAUUUGUGACAAGUUGAUGAAAACGUUGACAGAUUUCUUUGCUUCUCUCAAUCUAUCCUUUGGCUUGUUAAAAUAAGGCCAAGGUAACAGGUAAUUUACUUAGUGAUACAGAGAAGAGUUUUCAAAGGCUGCCAUGGAAGCAUAACAGAACUAUUUCAAACAUUUUGGAAACUGUCUAAAUUCCCACCUAAAACUUGGACGGCCAAUGCGAAUGGAGUGUCUGCCGUGGGCUGGUUCCAG
rnacentral:lncRNA from 10 species